CACUCUCUGUCUGGUUCCUAAAAGCAGGAACUUCACCACCAGUUUUUUCAGAAUCACUCUCUGUCUGAUUCAUAAAAACGGUAAUUUCAUCGCGAGGUUUUUCAGAAUCAUUCACCGUAUGAUUCAUAGAAACAGGAACUUCAUCCCCAAGUUUUUCAGAAUCAUUCUCUGUCUGAUUCAUAGAAACAGGAACUUCAUCCCUAGGUUUUUCAGAAUCAUUCUCUGUCUGAUUCAUAGAAACAGGAACUUCAUCCCCAGGUUUUUCAGUAUCAUCAUCUGUCUGAUUCCUAGAAAUAGGAACUUCAGCACUAUUUUGCAAUUCUGAUGGUAUGGCAGUCUCU
rnacentral:lncRNA from 1 species